AUGGUUGUUAAAUCUCUGCAGCAGCAGGGAGUGCCCACUCGGGUGCUAUCAGCGGUGCAUGUCCCAUCCUCAAAUCCAAAAUGCCUCCAGGGCCGGCUCCUGGGCUCACUGGCAGCUGCUGUCCAGUGGGGACUGGGUCUGUGGGAGCUGCCAGGUGCCAGAAGAGGGAGAUGCUGCUGGGGGACAGCGCUGGUACCCGACAGGACAGCUCCACAGCCACAGGGACACGAUGGAGAUCCAGCCUCUGCACCCGGAUUUAAGUGCUUUAAUGACAUCACAGCACAAAGGGAAAAGUGUGAGAAAAUGGGGCGGCUGUUUUGGGAAAUGAUGCAGCAGAAUGAAUCAGUGACCCUGCCCAGGCCCGGGGCAGCGCUCAGUCACCGCAAGGAGCGGAUUUUCCGCGGGGGAGGACACGGAGCAGCAGCAGGAUGAGUGUCCCGGGAGGGGAUGGGAU
rnacentral:lncRNA from 1 species